UACGGAAGGCAGCAGUGGGGAAUAUUGCACAAUGGGCGCAAGCCUGAUGCAGCCAUGCCGCGUGUAUGAAAAAGGCCUUCGGGUUGUAAAGUACUUUCAGUCGUGAGGAAGGUGUUAAGGUUAAUAACCUUAGCAAUUGACGUUAGCGACAGAAGAAGCACCGGCUAACUCCGUGCCAGCAGCCGCGGUAAUACGGAGGGUGCGAGCGUUAAUCGGAAUUACUGGGCGUAAAGGGCACGCAGGCGGUUAAUUAAGUUGGAUGUGAAAUCCCCGGGCUUAACCUGGGAAUGGCAUUCAAGACUGGUUAGCUAGAGUCUUGUAGAGGGGGUAGAAUUCCAUGUGUAGCGGUGAAAUGCGUAGAGAUGUGGAGGAAUACCGGUGGCGAAGGCGGCCCCGUGGACAAAGACUGACGCUCAUGUGCGAAAGCGUGGGGAGCAAACGAGGGAUUAGAUACC
rnacentral:rRNA from 1 species